rnacentral:rRNA from 1 species
UGAUCCGGUGGUUCUGAAUGGAAGGGCCAUCGCUCAACGGAUAAAAGGUACUCCGGGGAUAACAGGCUGAUACCGCCCAAGAGUUCAUAUCGACGGCGGUGUUUGGCACCUCGAUGUCGGCUCAUCACAUCCUGGGGCUGAAGUAGGUCCCAAGGGUAUGGCUGUUCGCCAUUUAAAGUGGUACGCGAGCUGGGUUUAGAACGUCGUGAGACAGUUCGGUCCCUAUCUGCCGUGGGCGCUGGAGAAUUGAGGGGGGCUGCUCCUAGUACGAGAGGACCGGAGUGGACGCAUCACUGGUGUUCGGGUUGUCAUGCCAAUGGCAUUGCCCGGUAGCUAAAUGCGGAAGAGAUAAGUGCUGAAAGCAUCUAAGCACGAAACUUGCCCCG